GCCAGAUGUGGUGGUGCCCGCCUGUCAUCCCAGCAGCUUAGGAGGCUGAGGCAGGAGGAUUUCGAGUUCAAGGGCAGCCUCAGCAAAUUAGCAAGACCCUGUCUCAA
rnacentral:sRNA from 1 species